CCUACGGGUGGCAGCAGUGAGGAAUUUUGGACAAUGGGCGAAAGCCUGAUCCAGCUAUAUCGCGUGAAUGAUGAAGACUGUAUUGGUUGUAAAGUUCUUUACUCAAAUCUGUUUUUAAACAGUGAUGGUUUUCCAAAAAAGAUUAUGACAAAGUUUGAGCAAAAAGUCCCGGCUAAUCUCGUGCCAGCAGCCGCGGUAAUACGAGAGGGGCAAGCGUUAUUCAGAAUGAUUGGGCGUAAAGAGCACGUAGACUGUUUGUGUAUUUUCUAUUUGAAAGCUCAAAGCUUAACUUUGAGACAGAAUAUUUGAGAACCAUUGACUCGAGUAAGUAAAAGGAGAAUGGAAUUCCUGAGGGAGAGGUAAAAUUUGUUGAUCUCAGGAGGAACACCAAAAGCGAAAGCAAUUCUCUUGUACUUGACUGACGUUGAGGUGCGAAAGCGUGGGGAUCAAAAGGGAUUAGAUACCCGGGUAGUC
rnacentral:rRNA from 1 species